rnacentral:rRNA from 1 species
UGGGGAAUUUUGGACAAUGGGGGAAACCCUGAUCCAGCCAUCCCGCGUGUGCGAUGAAGGCCUUCGGGUUGUAAAGCACUUUUGGCAGGAAAGAAACGUCAUGGGUUAAUACCCCGUGAAACUGACGGUACCUGCAGAAUAAGCACCGGCUAACUACGUGCCAGCAGCCGCGGUAAUACGUAGGGUGCAAGCGUUAAUCGGAAUUACUGGGCGUAAAGCGUGCGCAGGCGGGUCGGAAAGAAAGAUGUGAAAUCCCAGAGCUCAACUUUGGAACUGCAUUUUUAACUACCGGGCUAGAGUGUGUCAGAGGGAGGUGGAAUUCCGCGUGUAGCAGUGAGAUGCGUAGAUAUGCGGAGGAACACCGAUGGCGAAGGCAGCCUCCUGGGAUAACACUGACGCUCAUGCACGAAAGCGUGGGGAGCAAACAGG